rnacentral:rRNA from 1 species
AUGAACGCUGGCGGCGUGCCUAAUACCUGCAGGUCGCGCGCACAGACGAGGAGCUUGCUCCUCUGACGUUAGCGGCGGACGGGUGAGUAACACGUGGAUAACCUACCUAUAAGACUGGGAUAACUUCGGGAAACCGGAGCUAAUACCGGAUAAUAUAUUGAACCGCAUGGUUCAAUAGUGAAAGACGGUUUUGCUGUCACUUAUAGAUGGAUCCGCGCCGCAUUAGCUAGUUGGUAAGGUAACGGCUUACCAAGGCAACGAUGCGUAGCCGACCUGAGAGGGUGAUCGGCCACACUGGAACUGAGACACGGUCCAGACUCCUACGGGAGGCAGCAGUAGGGAAUCUUCCGCAAUGGGCGAAAGCCUGACGGAGCAACGCCGCGUGAGUGAUGAAGGUCUUCGGAUCGUAAAACUCUGUUAUUAGGGAAGAACAAAUGUGUAAGUAACUAUGCACGUCUUGACGGUACCUAAUCAGAAAGCCACGGCUAACUACGUG